CCAUCAAUGGCUGCGAACCAGCAGCUUGUCACUCGUCGCCAUCUCCUUCUCCUUCUUCCUCCUCUGCUUGUGCUCCUCCUCGCUUCUCAUCACCAGGCUGCUGCUUCCGAUCCACUGGUGACGACGAUGCACGGCAUGAGAGCGAGGUCCCUGCUCCAGGCCCCAAAACUAGACUGCCCGAAGGUGUGCUACGGCCGGUGCAGCAACAACUGGAAGAACGAGAUGUGCAACGACAAGUGCAACGUCUGCUGCAAGCGCUGCAACUGCGUCCCUCCCGGCACCGGCCAGGACACCCGCCACAUCUGCCCCUGCUACGACACCAUGAUCAACCCGCACAACGGCAAGCUCAAGUGCCCGUAGGCCGUAGACAGACAUUCAGAAUUCUGCUAAGAAGUUGCAGACAGAGAUGCAUUUGCAGUGCUACGACACUAAACUCUGGUCUGGUUGCGACUCUAUAUUCUCUCACUUUUUUCUCCAACCAAUACCAAAGUGUGUGUCAAAAUAAUUGUAAAAAUGAAAUAUAUUCGCAGCUUGCCAACAGAUUUGUUCUUGCGCGGAUGCACUGGACGCGGAGCUAGCAGCUAUGGAGGAGGGCCUUGGCUUGACGCUGAACUGGACAAAUGAAGCUAUCACUGCGCCGAGGCGAUCAAGCUAGUCUCUUCUGACUUCUGAGUCUCCGAACCUGUCGUUGUAUGCCAACAGAGUUAGUGUUAUCAGAGAGAAUUAAGGAAAGAGAGAUAGAAAUAAAGAAGAUUAAUCGCGAGGCAAACCACGCAAGCCACGGGUUGGCUUCGCUAGGGAAAGGACAAAGUAAAAGUGAAAUUUGGUUUCAGAACUUUCGGCCAGAAAUCGCUGAUGCGAUCAAGGCUGACUGUAAUAUCCCUAC